CAACCCUCAAGCCUGGCUUGGUGUUGGGGCUCUGCGCCUUGCAGGCCCUCAAAUCCAGUGGCGGACACGCUAGGUCUCCGAGCGCAGUAGUUUCUCCUCGCUCAGGGCGUCCGGCGUGGGCUUGCCUCGCACCCGCACUUCAA
rnacentral:misc_RNA from 1 species